AAGUCGUAACAAGGUUUCCGUAGGUGAACCUGCGGAAGGAUCAUUCUUGUGUUUUAUACACACACACACACACUGUGUUGUUGUUUACCCCCUGGUUGCCACACCACGCGUGUGUGGCAACCUAACAAUAUUAACCACACGUAAUCCUACCCUAGUGAUACCUUUGAGUGUGCAUGUCUAACGACAUGCACAUACAACACACAACACAACUGUUGGCAACGGAUCACUCGGCUCUU
rnacentral:misc_RNA from 1 species